GGGUGCCGAGAAGAGACAGCGCCGCCGGCCGUGGGGAGCGGACGCAGUGAUUUGCUCCCCCUCGUGCAGCAACCCCCACACCCAGCACCAGGCCCCCAGAACUCUCCUUCCAGCUGAACUCCCUGGGAACAAGUCAGUUGGGCUGAUCACUGAACUCACAUUUCUGGACCUGAGGAGCCUGUUCCUCUCACGCCCUCACCUGGCUGAGCCGCAGUAGUUCUUCAGUGGCAAGCUUUAUGUCCUGACCCAGCUAAAGCUGCCAGUUGAAGAACUGUUGCCCUCUGCCCCUGGCUUCGAGGAGGAGGAGGAGCUGCUUUCCCCAUCAUCUGGAAGGAAGCUGUGUCUGUUCGAUUUGGUGGGAGGAGAUGUGCAGGGAGCUGUAUCUUGUCCUCCGCUUGUGAAAAACUCAAGGAUGUGGAGAAGAGUAGACCGUGGAACCCUGCUCUUCUGCAGCCAAGCUGAGGGGCAGGAUGCGUGUGGGACAGUGGUAGAGAAGCAGGGGAUAGACUCAUAGGCUGCAACAAAGGUGACUCUGUCCCUGGACACUGCCUCCGUACUUUCUCCUUGCUUCACUGGCCACAGCAUCUCCCUCCAGCCCUCGCUAUGUGCCUCUGCCAUCUUCACCCAUCAUGGAGCAGAGGUGAGGAGAGGCAGCCUGGGAAUAUGGAGACCAGUGAAGGACCAGGCCUGGAGAGCACAGGGUCCUACCUGGGCAUCCAGCAGAGGAGCCCCUAAAGGCCAGGAGCACCCCAAGAGGAGGGAGGGCAGCCAGCCUCCAUUGACGGCGAGCCUCCAGCCCUCUCCUACUUUGAUCACCAUUUCUCUCCAGGCUUUCUGCCUCCGAGAUGUGGCACCAUAGUGCGGUGCCCUGUGGCUUCACCGCCCUACUUCCACCUCCGCCCAGCCUGUAAUGUUUAUAUAAGCAGCCUCAAGGACCAAGAACCAUCUGCGAAAGGACACACACAGGAAAUUCAUAAAAGAAAUCUGAAUGGAUAAAACCAUGAAAAAAAGUAUGCUUCAUUAGUAAUUAAAGAAAGGCAAAUAGAGCUGGAAGCAUUUUUCCCUUAGCAAACCAUAACAGAAAAAAAUAAGACCCAAUAUUGGCAAAGAGACUACUGAAAAAACAUUCCCAUACAUUGCGUGUGGGAGUAUACAUCGGUGCAGGCUUCCUGGAUGACAGUUGGGUGAUAUGUGUCAUGUGGCCUAAAAGCCUCCAUGUCAUUUGACCUACGAAUUCUAUCUUUGGGAAUUUAUCCUAAGAAAAUACUUAAGGAUUUAGUUAGUGAUAAGAUGUUCAUCCCAGCAUUGCAAUGGAGAAAAAUGGGAAGCAAUGGUUUGGUUGGGAAUUUAUUCCUUUUCUGCUGUAACGAAAGUUUGCAAUAGGGGAUUGCUUAAGUAAAUUAUUGUAUCUCCAUCCAGAUGGUGGAGUACCGCGCAGACAUUAAAAGUCAUGUAAAAGAACAUCUGACUGAAAGAAAAAUGCUCCUUGAAUAUUAAAAGGUUGUAAAAAUAGUGCAUGUUAUGUGAUUUCAAUUUUGUUUUUUAAAAUAUGGGUGUAUGCUUGUAUACGUAGAGCAGAUAAAAAAGACGGAAGGCAUACUAAAAAAUGUUGAGUGGUUAUCUUUGUAUGGUGGAACAAAGUCACUGUAAUUUUCAUCUUUGGUUUUUCUGUAAUUUCCAAAUUUUCCACAUUUUGUAUUUCAUAUAAUAUAAUUUAAGAGA
rnacentral:lncRNA from 10 species